rnacentral:miRNA from 1 species
UGAAGACACGUGUUGGACACG